CAGAAUCACUGCAUAUUCAAGUUCAGAUAGCUCGUAUUCUCCUGUUGAUUUGCUCUGGCCAGAAGUUCAUCUCCCUGGGAUUAAGGCGGUGCAUUGGAGUAUUCAGGGGUAACCAAAAAGGAAGUUAAUUGACAUCACUUAUUUCCAAUCAUGUGCUAUUGAGUGCAUGAGUUUUUCUUUUUUUUUUUAAGCACAUAAAGAC
rnacentral:misc_RNA from 1 species